UGCUUACCAUGCAGUCGAACGAUGAAGCCCAGCUUGCUGGGUGGAUUAGUGGCGAACGGGUGAGUAACACGUGAGUAACCUGCCCUUGACUCUAGGAUAAGCCCGGGAAACUGGGUCUAAUACUGGAUAGGAACGUCUACCGCAUGGUGGAUGUUGGAAAGAAUUUCGGUCAUGGAUGGACUCGCGGCCUAUCAGCUUGUUGGUGAGGUAAUGGCUCACCAAGGCGACGACGGGUAGCCGGCCUGAGAGGGUGACCGGCCACACUGGGACUGAGACACGGCCCAGACUCCUACGGGAGGCAGCAGUGGGGAAUAUUGCACAAUGGGCGAAAGCCUGAUGCAGCGACGCCGCGUGAGGGAUGACGGCCUUCGGGUUGUAAACCUCUUUCAGUAGGGAAGAAGCGAAAGUGACGGUACCUGCAGAAGAAGCACCGGCUAACUACGUGCCAGCAGCCGCGGUAAUACGUAGGGUGCGAGCGUUAUCCGGAAUUAUUGGGCGUAAAGAGCUCGUAGGCGGUUUGUCGCGUCUGUCGUGAAAGUCCGGGGCUUAACCCCGGAUCUGCGGUGGGUACGGGCAGACUAGAGUGCAGUAGGGGAGACUGGAAUUCCUGGUGUAGCGGUGGAAUGCGCAGAUAUCAGGAGGAACACCGAUGGCGAAGGCAGGUCUCUGGGCUGUAACUGACGCUGAGGAGCGAAAGCAUGGGGAGCGAACAGGAUUAGAUACCCUGGUAGUCCAUGCCGUAAACGUUGGGCACUAGGUGUGGGGAACAUUCCACGUUUUCCGCGCCGCAGCUAACGCAUUAAGUGCCCCGCCUGGGGAGUACGGCCGCAAGGCUAAAACUCAAAGGAAUUGACGGGGGCCCGCACAAGCGGCGGAGCAUGCGGAUUAAUUCGAUGCAACGCGAAGAACCUUACCAAGGCUUGACAUGUUCUCGAUCGCCGUAGAGAUACGGUUUCCCCUUUGGGGCGGGUUCACAGGUGGUGCAUGGGUUGUCGUCAGCUCGUGUCGUGAGAUGUUGGGUUAAGUCCCGCAACGA
rnacentral:rRNA from 1 species